CCUACGGGGGGCAGGAGUGGGGAAUAUUGGACAAUGGGCGAAAGCCUGAUCCAGCCAUGCCGCGUGUGUGAAGAAGGCCUUCGGGUUGUAAAGCACUUUCAGUGGGGAAGAAAGCCUUGGGGCUAAUACCCUCGAGGAAGGACAUCACCCACAGAAGAAGCACCGGCUAACUCCGUGCCAGCAGCCGCGGUAAUACGGAGGGUGCGAGCGUUAAUCGGAAUUACUGGGCGUAAAGCGCGCGUAGGCGGUCUGAUAAGCCGGUUGUGAAAGCCCCGGGCUCAACCUGGGAACGGCAUCCGGAACUGUCAGGCUAGAGUGCAGGAGAGGAAGGUAGAAUUCCCGGUGUAGCGGUGAAAUGCGUAGAGAUCGGGAGGAAUACCAGUGGCGAAGGCGGCCUUCUGGACUGACACUGACGCUGAGGUGCGAAAGCGUGGGUAGCAAACAGGAUUAGAUACCCUAGUAGUC
rnacentral:rRNA from 1 species